rnacentral:rRNA from 1 species
UACAGAGGGUGCGAGCGUUAAUCGGAGUUACUGGGCGUAAAGGGCGCGUAGGCGGUUUAGUAAGUUAGAUGUGAAAGCCCUGGGCUUAACCUAGGAACUGCAUCUAAGACUGCUAGGCUAGAGUAUUGUAGAGGGUAGUGGAAUUUCCGGUGUAGCGGUGAAAUGCGUAGAGAUCGGAAGGAACACCAGUGGCGAAGGCGGCUACCUGGACAAAUACUGACGCUGAGGCGCGAGAGCGUGGGGAGCAAACAGGAUUAGAUACCCUGGUAGUCCACGCUGUAAACGAUGAGAACUAGAUGUUGGCAGGCUUGACCUGUUAGUAUCGAAGCUAACGCGAUAAGUUCUCCGCCUGGGGAGUACGGCCGCAAGGUUAAA